rnacentral:rRNA from 2 species
GAGCUUGCUCCUUUGAAGUUAGCGGCGGACGGGUGAGUAACACGUGGGUAACCUACCUAUAAGACUGGAAUAACUUCGGGAAACCGGAGCUAAUGCCGGAUAACAUAUAGAACCGCAUGGUUCUAUAGUGAAAGAUGGUUUUGCUAUCACUUAUAGAUGGACCCGCGCUGUAUUAGCUAGUUGGUAAGGUAAUGGCUUACCAAGGCGACGAUACAUAGCCGACCUGAGAGGGUGAUCGGCCACACUGGAACUGAGACACGGUCCAGACUCCUACGGGAGGCAGCAGUAGGGAAUCUUCCGCAAUGGGCGAAAGCCUGACGGAGCAACGCCGCGUGAGUGAUGAAGGUUUUCGGAUCGUAAAACUCUGUUAUUAGGGAAGAACAAAUGCGUAAGUAACUGUGCGCAUCUUGACGGUACCUAAUCAGAAAGCCACGGCUAACUACGUGC